rnacentral:rRNA from 1 species
UACGGAGGGUGCAAGCGUUGUUCGGAAUUAUUGGGCGUAAAGCGCGUGUAGGCGGUCUGUUAAGUCUGAUGUGAAAGCCCCGGGCUCAACCCGGGAAGUGCAUUGGAUACUGGCAGACUUGAGUACGGGAGAGGGAAGUGGAAUUUCGAGUGUAGGGGUGAAAUCCGUAGAUAUUCGAAGGAACACCGGUGGCGAAGGCGGCUUCCUGGACCGAUACUGACGCUGAGACGCGAAAGCGUGGGGAGCAAACAGG